UACAGAGGGUGCAAGCGUUGUUCGGAAUUAUUGGGCGUAAAGCGCGUGUAGGCGGCUUUGCAAGUCGGGUGUGAAAGCCCUCAGCUUAACUGAGGAAGUGCGCCCGAAACUGCAGAGCUUGAGUACCGGAGAGGAUGGCGGAAUUCCCCAAGUAGAGGUGAAAUUCGUAGAUAUGGGGAGGAACACCGGUGGCGAAGGCGGCCAUCUGGACGGAUACUGACGCUGAGGAGCGAAAGCAUGGGGAGCGAACAGG
rnacentral:rRNA from 1 species